rnacentral:rRNA from 1 species
GUGGGGAAUAUUGGACAAUGGGCGCAAGCCUGAUCCAGCCAUGCCGCGUGAGUGAUGAAGGCCUUAGGGUUGUAAAGCUCUUUUGUCCGGGAAGAUAAUGACUGUACCGGAAGAAUAAGCCCCGGCUAACUUCGUGCCAGCAGCCGCGGUAAUACGAAGGGGGCUAGCGUUGUUCGGAAUCACUGGGCGUAAAGCGCACGUAGGCGGACCAUUAAGUCAGGGGUGAAAGCCUGGAGCUCAACUCCAGAACUGCCUUUGAUACUGAUGGUCUCGAGUUCGGAAGAGGUUGGUGGAACUGCGAGUGUAGAGGUGAAAUUCGUAGAUAUUCGCAAGAACACCAGUGGCGAAGGCGGCCAACUGGUCCGAUACUGACGCUGAGGUGCGAAAGCGUGGGGAGCAAACAGGAUUAGAAACCCGAGUAGUCC